GUGUCGUGGUGCACUGAGAGGCGAACUUGACUCCUGGACUGGAACCCCGAGGCCCGCAGUCUUCGAGGCCCGAAGCCACGCUUUCUUUCCCUGUUCCCAUUCAGGUAUCAACAGGAAAAGCACACAAACCCAAUGGACAAACAGUCAGAAGACUAGUGUUUCUUAUCAACAGAUUCUCUUCUCUUGGAGAACCCCCCCGCCAGUCUCCCAUGAAGUUACACAUCUCACUGGCAGGACCAGUGGUGUGGGGGACUCUUCAGACCCAUUAAAACCCCUACCUCAUCAGUUACUUGCUGGGUGGGCUUGGACAAGUUGCUGAAUUUCCCAGAGUCUCUGUUUUCUAUAAAUUGGGGACAAUAAUUCAUUGUAGGGCUGCUAGAGGGAUUAGGGAGAAUGUAUAUGCUGAGGCCAGUUCUUAGUAUGCUGUGGAUGCUUGCUUGAUAAUAAGGGCUUGUUGCAUUUUUCUUACCCUCCAGAAGCACACUUUUAAGGUUCUACUUUUCCCGGAGCCUUUGCAUAUUAAGGAACUCAUUGCAACAGUUAUCAAAUGUCUGGAGGUAUAUUAAACCAGGGCUCUCAACAUCAUCAUUCACCUAGAAAUCAUGGCACUCUCUGCAGAAUGUUCUAAGGCGUCAUUAUUUCAUCAGCAUGAGCUAGAAAUCAUUUAGCUGUUAGGAAACAUAACUGUAUUGUAUGGAUAUCAUUUAAAAUCACAAAUGUGAGCGUCUAUUAAAAAAAUCCUCACUGUCGAAUUCAUAAGAA